AGUCAGGGUUUUCAAACCAUUUUGUUGCAUGAAGAAUAACCAUGUUUUAGGUAUGUCUGUUCCACUCUUGAUUUUUGCUGUAUUCUUUUGCAAUUAUCAAGAAAAUGGUUCAGCAAAAUGUCAUCAGAUGUGCAUUGUGUGUGGACCACAGAAAAAUAGCAGUAUGGAUUCCAGCCUCAAUGCUUUCCCAAAGCCAAAAGAAUAAUAAGCCAUUUCUAAAAUCAUAGAGAACAGUGCAUUACCAUUUAUGAUAGCAGAAAAUGAUUUGUAAUUAAAUCUGAUUUUUACAUAUAUAUUUAGAUAAAUUGCUAAGUUAGUGAGUCAGAGGUAUUUCUUACAAAGAAAACACAAUUCAUAUCCCCUCUAUGUUAACAAUGUAUUUUUUCUUCUUUUUUUUGUCUCUCUCAAUGAAUUUAAAUAAUCAUGGAUACGGACUUCAGAAAAUAUUAACUUGGCUAAAAUUAAAAUCUUCUUAUUUCAGAGUUCCCUGGUGCCCUAGCUGGUUAAGGAUCUAGCAUUGUUACUGUUGUGGUAUGGGUUCGAUCCCUGGCCAGGGAGCUUCCACAUGCCAUGGACAUGGCCAGAAAAAUAAAUUAAAAGAUCAAAUCAAAUCAAAUCUCAUUUCAUGCACAUUGUCCUACAUACAAAUGGAUACUAUUAAUACAUCCCAAUGAGUAAGUUAUUACUCUCAGUUCCUUGAGGGUGCAUUUUACAGAAAACAUCCUUGCAGAACCAUCAGGGUGCCAUUAUGCCAAAAAUCAGGUAUCCUAUUUGUCUAAAUUUUAUGAUUUACAAUAGAAAUGGCACAAUACUAUAAUCUGAGCUUAAAAUAUGUAAGAAUAUCUUGUAUUUUCUACCAUAUGUUUUCUUACACACAUAUUCCAAAUAAAGUGCAAGCUACAUAAGGUCAAGGUCUAUAUUUUACUAAUCUUUCUAAUCCUCAUAGGACUUCACAUCUUAUAAUUGCAUAAAAGAAUCCGGAGUUCUCGUCGCAGCUCAGCGGAAAUGAAUCUGCCUAGUAUCCAUGAGGACACAGGUUUGAUCCCUGGCCUCGCUCAGUGGGUUAAGGAUCUGGCACUGCCAUAAGCUGUAGGGUAGGUUGCAGACAUGGCUCAGAUCCCAUGUUGUGGCUGUGGUGUAGGCCAGCAGCUACAGCUCCAAUUGGACCCCUGGCCUGGGAACCUUCUUAUGCUGCCGGUGCGGCCCUAAAAAGACCCCCCCCCCAAAAAAAAGUACAGAAUCCAUCUUUUCAAUACAACAAUUUAUAUAUCUUUGUAUAUUCCAACGUGUUAUUAAAUUGCUAUUUUAGAUCUUAGGAAAUGAUAGCAUAACAAUUAUUUAUUUUGAAAACUUGACUCAAAUUCUCUAGCACAUAGCAUUAUUUUGAAUAUUGAUGUAGAAUUUUGAAUAAUGUUCCUAACUUUUAAAAUCACAUUGGGAUUUUGAUGGGGAAUUUAAAUCUUAGGUUACUUUGGGUAUAAUUAAAAUAUUUACAGUUUUCCACUUUUUCUUGUACAACUGUAAUUUUUUUCAUAUAUUCAAUCCUUUCAUUUCUUACAAUAGAAUUUUCUUGUUUCUUUCUUUUUGGACCUGAAUGUUUCUUGUCAAGGUUUUCCCAAAGUAUUUUAUAUUAUGGUUUUUGUUGUGGGUGGACUUUUUUUUUUUUUUUUCAGUUUUCUAAAUAAUGACUCCCAAAAUGGAGGAAACUACUAGUUUUUGUAGUACUAUUUUCUGGAAAUUAUGGUCUCAAUUUCUUUUUUGUCCUUCCCUUGGCCUUUUUUUUUUUUUUUUUUAUUGUGUACUCAAAUGAUUAGUUUACUUUUUAAAAAUUUUCUUAUAUCACUGUUUAAAAAAACACUGCCUUAUCCUUUCUAAUGUCUUACAUAGUAGGCAAUUUGCGUGUUUUUUUUGUUUUUUAAUAUGUAUAUUUAAUAUAAAAUAAAAAUGUAUGCAUAUAUAAUGUAGUUUCAAUUCCUGAAUGUAUUUUCAAUUAGAGCACUUGUUAUUAAAUACAUAAUAAAUUAUUAUAAUUCAUAAGAAAAUAGAAACCUCAUUAUACUUCCUAGUAAAUCAUAGAUAAUGAUUUUUCAGAAUAACGAUGGACUUAGGGUGCAGGCUAUUAUAAUGCCUUAGAUAAGGUGUCUUAUAAUCAGAUAUAUUUGUGUAUAAUAACUAAACUCCUGUUUUAGAGUUCAAAAUGGUUUUUCUUUAUGUAGAAUUUGGCUUCAUUGAGAAAAGUGUUUCUCAUCAUCCAUUGAGUUAUGAGAAUUGUAAACCCUUCAUUUGUAUUAUCUCUUUGGUACUCACGGCAUUAUUUCAGUUUUACUGGGAGGCCAGGGUCUUAUCUAUUGUACGUAGAAGUACUCUACAGGUAUUUGUGGAAUUAACCUAGAUAAACAGCAUGGUUAAAACAGCUUGCCAACAGCAGAAACAGAAAAAGGAGUAAAUGGCCAGGCAUCUAAUUUGGUUCUAUUUUCAGUAGAUCAUACUGUAUAUUGAAAAAGAAGUAAACAAUUAUGAGGCCUAUCUAACAAUAUACUCAAUAUUUUAAAAUUAUUGAGUUCUACCAUAUAAUAAUCUGUGCUAACUAUUUUAUUUUUAUGCAUUCACUGAAUCCUUUCCACCAACCUAUGAGGCAGAUACUACAACUACACUUAUUUCAAGACGAGGAAACAAGCAACAAGAGAGUCAAAUAAUUCUCUGAAUCCUUAGCACAGAGCUGGUUUAUAUCCAUUUAUAACAAAUACUACCUCUAAAUAUAGGGCUAAUUGAUGUCACUUUUAUGUGUCCAUAAGAGUCAUGAGACAAUUUCCAAACCUAACCUAUAAAAUGGGAAGUACACAGAAAACUUGAUCUUUCUACUGCUUGGCUCUAUCCUCCAAGUCAGACCAGGCCCUGUGACUGUAAUCAAAAGUAUGAAUGAUCAGUGCUGAUUUUCCUUUCUUAACAUUACACCAGCAGAGAAGUCCUGGGGAUUUCUCUAAAAUUGCCCUGAGGCAGUUUUUUUUUUAAAAUUUUAACAACGUAUGUAUUUUUGAAGGUUUACUAAACUGUGUCUACAGGAACUAUGUGUAUGCAGAGUCUGCAAUCCAGAAAGAGUUGUGGUUUAAAGGCAUUGCUGCUUCUCAUUGUUUUUGAUCACGUGCCCAACUUUAACUUCACAAAAAUGUUGGUUGGUUUCAGUGAGGGUAUUUUCUGUGGGAAUUCCGGUCUUGAGACUCUGUUCCUUGUCCUCAAAUGAUCUUCUGCCUGAGUUGAUCUUCUGGGGUGAUUCUGUGCUUUGGAGGAAGUGGUUAUCGAGGACUGAAUAUGAUGGGCAUCUGAGAGACAGCAGCAGCCAGACUUUUUCCUGAGGUUGUCACUCUGUAUACAGUUUAACAUCUGUAUAUAUCUCUUAGUUGCAUCAGUUGUGUUUUCUUAUUAAGAGGUUGCCUUUGCCUGUCUUUGCACUUCCCUCAUUGGGUUCUGUUUUAGUAAAUAAUCUAAUGUAAGUUUCCUGAAUCUCUUUUCUCCAUCAC
rnacentral:lncRNA from 9 species